rnacentral:rRNA from 1 species
CCUACGGGAGGCAGCAGUGAGGAAUAUUGGUCAAUGGGCGGAAGCCUGAACCAGCCAAGUAGCGUGCAGGAUGACGGCCCUACGGGUUGUAAACUGCUUUUAUACGGGAAUAACGCGCCUUACGUGUAGGGCUUUGCAUGUACCGUAUGAAUAAGGACCGGCUAAUUCCGUGCCAGCAGCCGCGGUAAUACGGAAGGUCCGGGCGUUAUCCGGAUUUAUUGGGUUUAAAGGGAGCGUAGGCCGCAUGUCAAGCGUGCUGUGAAAUGUCCGGGCUCAACCCGGGCCUUGCAGCGCGAACGGGCGUUCUUGAGUACGCGGAAAGCAGGCGGAAUGCGUGGUGUAGCGGUGAAAUGCUUAGAUAUGACGAAGAACCCCGAUUGCGAAGGCAGCUUGCUGCAGCGGAACUGACGCUGAGGCUCGAAAGCGGGGGUAUCGAACAGGAUUAGAUACCCUUGUAGUC